rnacentral:lncRNA from 8 species
AUGACUGGCCCUAGUGCCCUGUCUCUCCUCCAGGAUGUACCACUAACCACCGUGUCCCCUCUAGUGACUGGUCCUAGUGCCCUGUCUCUCCUCCAGGAUGUACCACUAACCACCGUGUCCCCUCUAGUGACUGGUCCUAGUGCCCUGUCUCUCCUCCAGGAUGUACCACUAACCACCGUGUCCCCUCUAGUGACUGGCCCUAGUGCCCUGUCUCUCCUCCAGGAUGUACCACUAACCACCAUGUCCCCUCUAGUGACUGGUCCUAGUGCCCUGUCUCUCCUCCAGGAUGUACCACUAACCACCGUGUCCCCUCUAGUGACUGGUCCUAGUACCCUGUCUCUCCUCCAGGAUGUACCACUAACCACCGUGUCCCCUCUAGUGACUGGUCCUAGUGCCCUGUCUCUCCUCCAGGAUGUACCACUAACCACCGUGUCCCCUCUAGUGACUGGUCCUAGUGCCCUGUCUCUCCUCCAGGAUGUACCACUAACCACCGUGUCCCCUCUAGUGACUGGCCCUAGUGCCCUGUCUCUCCUCCAGGAUGUACCACUAACCACCGUGUCCCCUCUAGUGACUGGUCCUAGUGCCCUGUCUCUCCUCCAGGAUGUACCACUAACCACCGUGUCCCCUCUAGUGACUGGUCCUAGUGCCCUGUCUCUCCUCCAGGAUGUACCACUAACCACCGUGUCCCCUCUAGUGACUGGUCCUAGUGCCCUGUCUCUCCUCCAGGAUGUACCACUAACCACCAUGUCCCCUCUAGUGACUGGCCCUAGUGCCCUGUCUCUCCUCCAGGAUGUACCACUAACCACCGUGUCCCCUCUAGUGACUGGUCCUAGUGCCCUGUCUCUCCUCCAGGAUGUACCACUAACCACCGUGUUCCCUCUAGUGACUGGUCCUAGUGCCCUGUCUCUCCUCCAGGAUGUACCACUAACCACCGUGUCCCCUCUAGUGACUGGUCCUAGUGCCCUGUCUCUCCUCCAGGAUGUACCACUAACCACCGUGUCCCCUCUAGUGACUGACCCUAGUGCCCUGUCUCUCCUCCAGGGUGUACUGGAGGAGAGGGGGGGUGUGGGGGUCGUGAAACAGCUGGUGAGAUCCAAAAACCAGUUGGAGCCCCCUACCUCACGGACCCGGACAGCCAAAGACAAACGAGGGGAAAGUGAGUGUGGUCAUUAG